UACAGAGGGUGCGAGCGUUAAUCGGAAUUACUGGGCGUAAAGCGUGCGUAGACGGCUAUCUAAGUCGGGUGUGAAAGCCCCGGGCUCAACCUGGGAAUUGCAUUCGAGACUGAAUAGCUAGGGUACGGUAGAGGGAAGCGGAAUUUCCGGUGUAGCGGUGAAAUGCGUAGAGAUCGGGAGGAACACCAGAGGCGAAAGCGGCGACCUGGACAGGUACUGACACUCAACUACGAAAGCGUGGGGAGCAAACAGG
rnacentral:rRNA from 1 species